rnacentral:sRNA from 1 species
ACCAGGUGUGGUGUUGCACACCUGUAAUCCAAGUGGCUCAGGAGGCUGAGAUAGGAGGAUCACAGGUUCAAAGCCAGCCUCAGCAACAGUGAGGCUCUAGGCAACUCAGUGAGACCCUGUAUCUA